GCUGGCCUCUCACGAGGCAUGUGCACGCCUGGCUCAUCCACUCUUAACCUCUGUGCACUUUAUGUAAGAGAAAAAAAUGGUGGAAGCUUCCAGGAUCUCGCGAGAGGUCUUCGGUUGAACAAGCCGUUUUUCUUUCUUAUGUUUUACUACAAACGCUUCAGUUAUAGAAUGUCAACUGUGUGUAACACAUUUAUAUACAACUUUCAGCAACGGAUCUCUUGGCUCUCGCAUCGAUGAAGAACGCAGCGAAAUGCGAUAAGUAAUGUGAAUUGCAGAAUUCAGUGAAUCAUCGAAUCUUUGAACGCACCUUGCACUCCUUGGUAUUCCGAGGAGUAUGCCUGUUUGAGUCUCAUGGUAUUCUCAACCCCUAAAUUUUUGUAAUGAAGGUUUAGCGGGCUUGGACUUGGAGGUUGUGUCGGCCCUUGUCGGUCGACUCCUCUGAAAUGCAUUAGCGUGAAUCUUACGGAUCGCCUUCAGUGUGAUAAUUAUCUGCGCUGUGGUGUUGAAGUAUUUAUGGUGUUCAUGCUUCGAACCGUCUCCUUGCCGAGACAAUCAUUUGACAAUCUGAGCUCAAAUCAGGUAGGACUACCCGCUGAACUUAAGCAUAUCAAUAAGCGGAGGA
rnacentral:rRNA from 1 species